UGGGGAAUCUUGCGCAAUGGCCUAACGGCUGACGCAGCGACGCCGCGUGAGGGAUGAAGCUCCUCGGAGUGUAAACCUCUGUUGCCCGGGACGAAUAGCGGAUUUUUCCGACUUGACGGUACCGGGUGAGGAAGCACCGGCUAACUCCGUGCCAGCAGCCGCGGUAAUACGGGGGGUGCGAGCGUUGUCCGGAAUCACUGGGCGUAAAGGGCGCGUAGGUGGCUUUGUAAGUUUGCGGUGAAAGCCCGGGGCUCAACCCCGGGUCUGCCGUGGAUACUGCAAGGCUUGAGUACUGUAGAGGCAGGUAGAAUAUCGGGUGUAGCGGUGGAAUGCGUAGAGAUCCGAUAGAAGACCGGUGGCGAAGGCGGCCUGCUGGGCAGUAACUGACACUGAGGCGCGACAGCGUGGGGAGCAAACAGG
rnacentral:rRNA from 1 species